GGAUAGCACAGUGGUCAGUGCAGUCUGUCGGAAAUAGAAAGACGCGGGUUCAAUUCCCGUCCG
rnacentral:tRNA from 1 species